GAUGAACGCUGGCGGCGUGCCUAAUACAUGCAAGUCGAGCGAACGGACGAGAAGCUUGCUUCUCUGAUGUUAGCGGCGGAGGGGUGAGUAACACGUGGAUAACCUACCUAUAAGACUGGGAUAACUUCGGGAAACCGGAGCUAAGACCGGAUAAUAUUUUGAACCGCAUUGUUCAAAAGUGAAAGAAGGUCUUGCUGACACUUAUAGAUUGAUCCGCGCUGCAUUAGCUAGUUGGUAAGGUCACGGCUUACCAAGGCAACGAUGCAUAGCCGACCUGAGAGCGUGAUCGGCCACACUGGAAGUGAGACACGGUCCAGACUCCUACGGGAGGCCGCAGUAGGGAAUCUUCCGCAAUGGGCGAAAGCCUGACGGAGCACCGCCGCGUGAGUGAUGAAGGUCUUCGGAUCGUAAAACUCUGUUAUUAGGGAAGAACAUAUGUGUAAGUAACUGUGCACAUCUUGACGGUACCUAAUCAGAAAGCCACGGCUAACUACGUG
rnacentral:rRNA from 1 species